ACUCAAAUGAAUUGACGGGGACCCGCACAAGCGGUGGAUGAUGUGGUUUAAUUCGAUGCAACGCGAAAAACCUUACCUACCCUUGACAUGCCAAGAACUUGCCAGAGAUGGCUUGGUGCUCGAAAGAGAACUUGGACACAGGUGCUGCAUGGCCGUCGUCAGCUCGUGUCGUGAGAUGUUGGGUUAAGUCCCGCAACGAGCGCAACCCUUUUCAUUAGUUGCUACGCAAGGGCACUCUAAUGAGACUGCCGGUGACAAACCGGAGGAAGGUGGGGAUGACGUCAGGUCAUCAUGGCCCUUAUGGGUAGGGCUACACACGUCAUACAAUGGCUGGUACAGAGAGUUGCCAACUCGCAAGAGGGAGCCAAUCUCAGAAAACCGGUCGUAGUCCGGAUCGCAGUCUGCAACUCGACUGCGUGAAGUCGGAAUCGCUAGUAAUCGCGGAUCAGCAUGCCGCGGUGAAUACGUUCCCGGGUCUUGUACACACCGCCCGU
rnacentral:rRNA from 1 species